rnacentral:rRNA from 1 species
AUACGUAGGGGGCGAGCGUUGUCCGGAAUGAUUGGGCGUAAAGGGCGCGUAGGCGGCGCGGUAAGUCUGGAGUGAAAGUCCUGCUUUCAAGGUGGGAAUUGCUUUGGAUACUGCCGCGCUUGAGUGCAGGAGAGGUUAUCGGAAUUCCCGGCGUAGCGGUGAAAUGCGUAGAGAUCGGGAGGAACACCAGUGGCGAAGGCGGGUAACUGGACUGCAACUGACGCUGAGGCGCGAAAGUGUGGGGAGCAAACAGGAUUAGAUACCCUGGUAGUCCACACUGUAAACGAUGAAUGCUAGGUGUAGGAGGUAUCGACCCCUUCUGUGCCGCAGUAAACACAGUAAGCAUUCCGCCUGGGGAGUACGGUCGCAAGGUUGAAACUCAAAUGAAUUGACGGGG